ensembl:lncRNA
AUGCUCGUGGGAGUGUGGCCGCACUUUGAAAUGAAGCUACUCUUGGGAGUGCUCUUGGGAGUGUGGCCACUCAUUGGCAUGGUGCUUCAAGACUUGGGGGCCCUCUUGGGGACGCUGCGACUUUUUGGAAUGGUGCCGCUCUUCGGGAUGCUCUUGGGAGUGUGGCCGAUCUUUGGAAUGGCGCCACUCUUGGGGGCCAUUUGGGCUGUGGCUGUUCUUGGGGAAGCUGCAGAUUUUUGGAAUGGCGCAGCUCUUGGUGGUGCUCUUCGGAGGGUGGCUGCUCUUGGGGAUUGUGCAACAUUUUGGAAUGACAUCGUUCUUGGGGGAGUUCUUGGGGCUGUGGCUGCUCUUGGGGAUGCUGUGACUUUUUGGAAUGGUGCCUCUCUUGGGGGUGCUCUAGGGAGUGUGGUUGCUCUUGGGGAUGCUGCGACUUUUUGGAAUGGCGCCCCUCAUAAGGGUGCUCUUGGGAGUGUGGCCGCUCUUUGGAAUUGCACUGCUCUUGGGGGCCCUUUUGGGGUUGUGGCUGCUCUUGGGGAAUCUUCAGCUUUUUGGAAAGCCUCCGCUCUUGCAGGUGCUCUUGGGAAUGUGGCUUCUCUUGAGGACACUUCGGCUUUUUUGAAUGGUGCCGCUCUUUGUAAUGCUCUUGGGAGAGUGGGCGCUCUUUGGAAUGGUGCCGCUCUUGGGGUCCCUCUUAGAACUGUGACUGCUUUCAGGGAUACUGCGACAUUUUGGAAUGGCGCCGUGGCUGCUCCUGGGGAUGCAGCAACUUUUUGGAAUGGUGCCUCUCUUGGGAGCCCUCUUGGUGCUGUGGCUGCUCUUGGAGAUGGUGUGACUUUUUGGAAUGGAGUCUCUCUUGGGGGUGCUAUUCAAAGUGUGGCUGCUCUUGGGGAUGCUACGACAUUUUGGAAUGGCGCCGCUCUUGGGGAUGCUCUUGGGAGUGUGGCCUCUCUUUCGAAUGGUGCCGCUCUUGGGGGCUCUCUUGGGGCUGAGGCUGCUCUUGCGGUGCUACGACUUUUGGGAAUGGUGCCUUGGCUGCUCUUGGGGAUGCUGAGACUUCUUGGAAUGGCGCAGCUCCUUGGAAUGGUACCUGUCCUAGGGGCCCUCUUGGGGCUGUGGCUGCUCUUGGGAAAGCUGUAGCUUUUUGGAAUGGCACCACUCUUGGGGGAGCUCUUGGGAAUGGUUCCGCUCUUUGGAAUGGCACUGCUCUUUGGUCUUGGGGAUACCGAGUCUUCAUUGAAUGGUGCCGCUUUUGGGGAUGCUCUUGGCAGUGUGGCCACUAUUUGGAGUGGUGCCGCUCUUGAGGGCCCUCUUGUGGCUGUGGCUGGUCUUGGGGAAGCUGCAGCUUUUUGGAAAGGCGCUGCUCUUGUGGGCGUUCUUAGAGAAGUUGCUGUUCUCUUAUACACUUCAACUUUUUGGAAUGGGGCCCCUCUUGGGGAUGCUCUUGGGAGUGUGGCUGCUCUUUGGAAUGGUGCCCCUCUUCGGGGCCCUCUUGGGGAUGUGGCUGCCCUUGCGGAUGCUGUGACCAUUUAGAAUGGAGCCUCUUCUGGGUGUGCUCUUUGGAGGGUGGCUGCUCUUUGUGAUGGCACCUCUUGUGGGCGCCCUCCUGCGGCUUUGUCUGCUCUUGGGGAUUUUGAGAGUUUCCGGAAUGGCGCCUCUCUUGGGGGUGCUCUUGGGAGUGUGGCCUCUCUUUGGAAUGGUGCCGCUCUUGGGGAAUAUCUUGGGGCUGUGGCUGCUCUUGGGGAUGCUGGGACUUUUUUGAAUGGUGCCACUCCGGGGAGUGUGGCUACUCGUGGGCGUGCUUUUGGGGCUGUGGCUGCUGUGGAUUUUUGGAAUGGCGCCUCUGUUGGGGAUGCUCUUUGGAGUCUGGCCGCUCUUUGGAAUGGCGCCGCUCUUGGGAAUACUCUUGGGAAUGUGGCUGCUCUUUGGAGUGGCGCUGCACUUGAGGGCCCUCUUGGGGCUGUGGAUGCUCUUUGGGAUCCUGCGACUUUUCGGAAAGGUGCCUCUCUUGGGGAUACUCUUGGGAACGUGUGGUCACUCCUUGGAAUGGCGCCACUCUAGGGGAUACUCUUGGGAGUGUGGCCGCUCUUUGGAAUGCUGCUGCUCUAGCAGGCCUUCUUAGUGUUGUGGCUGCUCUUGGGGAGGCU